rnacentral:rRNA from 1 species
UGGGGAAUAUUGCACAAUGGAGGGAACUCUGAUGCAGCGACGCCGCGUGAGUGAUGAAGGAAUUCGUUUCGUAAAACUCUGUUCUAUGGGAAGAAAAGGACUGUACCAUAGGAGAAAGCUCCGGCUAAAUACGUGCCAGCAGCCGCGGUAAUACGUAUGGAGCGAGCGUUGUCCGGAAUUAUUGGGCGUAAAGGGUGCGCAGGCGGCUUUACAAGUUGGAUGUGAAAUAUUGUGGCUCAACCACAAACGUGCAUCCAAAACUGCAAAGCUUGAGUUAAGGAGAGGUAAGUGGAAUUCCUGGUGUAGCGGUGGAAUGCGUAGAUAUCGGGAGGAAUCCCGGUGGCGAAGGCGACUUACUGGACUUAAACUGACGCUCAGGCACGAAAGCGUGGGGAGCAAACAGG